AGAUUUGGGAAGAUCUCUCUCUAAAAAAAAAUUAAGGAAGUUACAAAUCAGAAUCAAACAAGAGUACUGGAUUGGUGGUCGUCUCUGCUUACAUCGACCUCCCCCUUCAUAAGUGAGAGAUUCCUGUCUCCCAGCUAGCUUUUGAUAUCGGGAAACUCAAAUCCCUAAUUAGAAAAGUUCUCUCUUAUUUUCCAUAUCUACCACAGUAGCUGGAAUUGAAAUGGGGCUCUGGAUUUUGCCACCAGUUUUGCUUCGAUUUUUAGAAAUUGAAUAUAAUUUUUUUGGCUCUGGUCUCUGCAACCAUCUUCUACACUUGGAGAUUUUGAUGUCAUUUUAAGAUUCAAGAUUUGGGUCUGGACAGAUUUAAGAUUGCUGGCAACAAUGGAGGCAAUUACUUUAAUAGAAGUUUAGAUCUUUUUG
rnacentral:lncRNA from 1 species